AUAGCCGGUGGAAACACCGGGUAAUUCCGCAUGAGGUCAACUUCCGGAGGGGAGUUGAGGAAAGGGUCUUCGGACUCGCCUUGGGAGGGGCCUGCGGCCGAUUAGCUAGACGGUGGGGUAACGGCCUACCGUGGCGAUGAUCGGUAGCUGGUCUGAGAGGACGGCCAGCCACACGGGGACUGAGACACGGCCCCGACUCCUACGGGAGGCAGCAGCAAGGAAUCUUCCGCAAUGGGCGAAAGCCUGACGGAGCAACGCCGCGUGUGGGAUGACGCCUUUCGGGGUGUAAACCACUUUUCUCAGGGAAGAAGCACUGACGGUACCUGAGGAAGAAGGACCGGCUAACUACGUGCCAGCAGCCGCGGUAAUACGUAGGGUCCGAGCGUUGUCCGGAGUUACUGGGCGUAAAGCGCGCGCAGGCGGCGGUGUAAGCAUGGCGUGAAAGCCCCUGGCUUAACCAGGGAGGGUCGUCGUGGACUGCACCGCUUGAGGGCGGUAGGGGCUGGUGGAAUGCCUGGUGUAGUGGUGAAAUGCGUAGAGAUCAGGCGG
rnacentral:rRNA from 1 species